GAUUUAAACAAUCAGACUCAGUAUCAACUCUGCUGCUCCAAACCAAGAUCAUGGGAGUGAGAAGUUAGCUUAGAGGGACCAAAAGACGGACACCUCAGUAAAAUCCACAUAAGUCAUUCAAGUACCACUUCAUUAGAAAUGGGAAGGCCAUGGAGAGAAGCCAGGAUGCUUUAAACCAAAUUUUCCAUCAUUU